rnacentral:rRNA from 1 species
CCCGCUGAACUUAAGCAUAUCAAUAAGCGGAGGAAAAGAAACCAACAGGGAUUGCCUCAGUAACGGCGAGUGAAGCGGCAACAGCUCAAAUUUGAAAUCUGGCUCUUUCAGGGUCCGAGUUGUAAUUUGUAGAGGAUGCUUCGGCGUGGGCUCCGGUCUAAGUUCCUUGGAACAGGACGUCACAGAGGGUGAGAAUCCCGUAUGUGAUCGGUUGCCUUUGCCAUGUGAAGCUCCUUCGACGAGUCGAGUUGUUUGGGAAUGCAGCUCUAAAUGGGAGGUAAAUUUCUUCUAAAGCUAAAUACUGGCCAGAGACCGAUAGCGAACAAGUACCGUGAGGGAAAGAUGAAAAGCACUUUGGAAAGAGAGUUAAACAGUACGUGAAAUUGUUAAAAGGGAAACGCUUGAAGUCAGUCACGUUUGCUUGGACUCAGCCUUACUUCGGUUUGGUGCAUUUCCUUGCAGACGGGCCAGCGUCCAUGUUGUUUGCCGGAGAAGGGGUUGAGGGAAUGUGGCUCCUUCGGGAGUGUUAUAGCCCUCACUCGUAUGCGGGGAGUGAUAUGGAGUGACACAGCACGCUUCGGUGGUGCUUGUGCUGGCAUAAUGGCUUUAAACGACCCGUCUUGAAACACGG